ensembl:Mt_tRNA
CGCUAGAAAGCUAAAUGGGUGUAAGCAUUAGCCUUUUAAGCUAAACAUGGUGCCUCCCAACCACCUCUAGCGA